rnacentral:rRNA from 2 species
CAUGCAGGCAUGAGUAGCGAUAAUUGAGGUGAGAAUCCUCAACGCCGAAAACCCAAGGUUUCCUACGCGAUGCUCGUCAUCGUAGGGUUAGUCGGGUCCUAAGUCGAGUCCGAAAGGGGUAGACGAUGGGAAAUUGGUUAAUAUUCCAAUACCAACAAUUAAGCGCGAUGUGGGGACGCAUAGAGUUAAUCGAGCUCACUGAUGGAAGUGUGAGUCGAAGGACGUAGGUUGUAAUUUAGGUAAAUCCGGAUUACAAUAGACCGAGAUCUUACAGGCCGAACAAACUUUUCGGAGUGCGUUUGGAAUCGAUGAUACUGUCGUGCCAAGAAAAGCCACUAAGUAUAUUAAUUGUUGCCCGUACCGUAAACCGACACAGG